rnacentral:rRNA from 2 species
UCCAGAGUUUGAUCCUGGCUCAGGAUGAACGCUGGCGGCGUGCCUAAUACAUGCAAGUCGAGCGAACAGAUGAGAAGCUUGCUUCUCUGAUGUUAGCGGCGGACGGGUGAGUAACACGUGGGUAACCUACCUAUAAGACUGGGAUAACUCCGGGAAACCGGGGCUAAUACCGGAUAAUAUUUUGAACCGCAUGGUUCAAUAGUGAAAGACGGUUUCGGCUGUCACUUAUAGAUGGACCCGCGCCGUAUUAGCUAGUUGGUAAGGUAACGGCUUACCAAGGCGACGAUACGUAGCCGACCUGAGAGGGUGAUCGGCCACACUGGAACUGAGACACGGUCCAGACUCCUACGGGAGGCAGCAGUAGGGAAUCUUCCGCAAUGGGCGAAAGCCUGACGGAGCAACGCCGCGUGAGUGAUGAAGGUCUUCGGAUCGUAAAACUCUGUUGUUAGGGAAGAACAAAUUUGUUAGUAACUGAACAAGUCUUGACGGUACCUAACCAGAAAGCCACGGCUAACUACGUGCCAGCAGCCGCGGUAAUACGUAGGUGGCAAGCGUUAUCCGGAAUUAUUGGGCGUAAAGCGCGCGUAGGCGGUUUCUUAAGUCUGAUGUGAAAGCCCACGGCUCAACCGUGGA